rnacentral:rRNA from 1 species
UAGGGAAUCUUCGGCAAUGGGGGGAACCCUGACCGAGCAACGCCGCGUGAGUGAAGAAGGUUUUCGGAUCGUAAAGCUCUGUUGUUAAGGAAGAACGAGUGUGAGAAUGGAAAGUUCAUGCUGUGACGGUACUUAACCAGAAAGGGACGGCUAACUACGUGCCAGCAGCCGCGGUAAUACGUAGGUCCCGAGCGUUGUCCGGAUUUAUUGGGCGUAAAGCGAGCGCAGGCGGUUAGAUAAGUCUGAAGUUAAAGGCAGUGGCUCAACCAUUGUAGGCUUUGGAAACUGUUUGACUUGAGUGCAGAAGGGGAGAGUGGAAUUCCAUGUGUAGCGGUGAAAUGCGUAGAUAUAUGGAGGAACACCGGUGGCGAAAGCGGCUCUCUGGUCUGUAACUGACGCGGAGGCUCGAAAGCGUGGGGAGCGAACAGG